GUCCGAUACGCGCCGAAAGCCAACUCUACUCCGUGGCUUCACCGAAAAACCAGGUUACCAUUCACUUUAAGUGAAAACUAAUAAUCGCAUAAAUUCUCCAUUCUAACUCGGUUUCUCCUGAAACUUAACUAGUGCUUUUGUAAUUAAAUUACACACCUAUACAUCGUCAAUAGAGAGUUUAGUUGCACUAUCAAAAUCUCAGUCCUUACAAGAUAGUGUAGAGAGUAGAUUUAAUUCAUACUUAAUUCAAAUUUUAAAAUUUAAUUUGGAGUAUUACGUGAUGGCCGGUUAUUACAUUUGAGAAAGAAAAUAUUUGACAAAACGCUUAGAUAGGAGAUAAAUUUAGUUUUACAAAUUAUGUGAUUGAUAGGUAUUA
rnacentral:lncRNA from 1 species